rnacentral:rRNA from 1 species
CUUUCAACAACGGAUCUCUAGGCUCUUGCAUCGAUGAAGAACGCAGUGAAAUGCGAUAAGUAAUGUGAAUUGCAGAAUCUCGUGAAUCAUUGAAUCUUUGAACGCACAUUGCGCCCUAUGGUAUUCCGUAGGGCAUGCCUGUCUGAGCGUCAGCU